CAUGGGCUUCUCUGCAGGCAGUUUGCUUCCUCUAGAGCGAGUGAUCCAAGAGAAUGAGAAAGACAGAGCCCAAGACGAGAGCCAUAGUCUUUUAUGACCAUCUGGAAGUGACAUACCAUCAGCUCUGCUGAAUGCUGUUGGUCACACAGAAUAACCUUGGCACGAUGUGGAAGAGGACUACACAAAGAAGGUACAUGCUAAAGUAUUUGAGUAUGAAGCACCACAACGUCUGCAAGUAACUCUCAAAUGGUUCAGAGAAUAAAAAGAAAAAAUAUAUAUAUGGAGAGAAAAGAUAUAAAACAAACCUGAACUAUGUUAACAAUUGGUGAAUCUACAUGAAGAGUGUGAUGCAUGAUGCGCAAUUGGACUUGCUAACAACCAAUUCCUAGGGAUAAAGAACAAGACAGACAAAAGUCCAAACCUUUGUGAAGCUUUCCUUCUACUGGGGCAAACAACAGCAAAACUUGCAAUUUCAGAUAUCAGUAAAUCCAUGAAGAAAAUAAAGUAAGCUAAUAGGACUGGGGACAAGAAGGAGCAGACAUCUGAGCAGAGAUCUGACUGCUGAAGUUCUGGGGAGUGUUCCAGUUUCAGUAAAUAGACAGCUUUUGCUGAAGGAUCUGCCAGGUCCAGGGCUGACUUCCCAUCAGUGUUCCGAAUGUUUGGAUCAGCUCCGUGCUGCAGCAGCACUGUGCAGGGAAAGCAGAAACAGUAUCUUACCUCGGGGAUACAGAGAUUAUUUACUGCAACAUUUUUUUUAUUCCAGGAAGAAAUUCCAAUGUGAAGAUUUGGCUUGUAAAGGGUCUUUAUCAUAAAGCAAACUCACAUAUCAAAUGAAAGGUGGUAACUAUCUCUAUUUUUAUUUAGUUGCUGGGUGAUCACAUGCAAAGGAGAGGAAAACAAAAGAAAUAAUAGCUACCAUGAAAAGCAGAGGGGUUUUUUGAUUGCUUACUUCGGGAACUUCAGAAUCUCCUUUAAACAAGAAGUAAAGGAAUAUUUUAUUUAACUCAGUUUGACAAUUAUAUGACGGGAGCUUUCAUUUUUGUAGUAAAAUGAGUGAUAGAGGCAAUACGCUGAAAGACUGAUGUUUCUCCAAAAGUCACCUAAAACCUCAAUCCUUCUUGUAACCAGUAUUCUACCUGUUAUAUUUUACAAUAGAAAUCUGCCAUUACAGUUUGGUUGCAGUUUUGUUUUAUUUUAGGUGACAUUAAAAGGAGUAAACUUUUUACUUCAAACAUAUGUUUUCUGAGCAUUUUUGGGUCAUGCCUAUCUCUUUCAUUGGACCUAAACACACAUAUUUACUUCAAAGUAAUACAGGAACAGCAAAGCAUUAGCUGAAUUUCUAAACCAGAUGCUGAUAACAAAAUCCAUGUUUAAAAAUAUUUAACCAUUUGUAAUUCACCAGACACGGAUUAAAAAAAAAACAAAACUCAGUAAAUGUAAGAUUUUUAGAAAUAAAGCUAUCUGCAAUUAGACCAGCAGGGGUCUAAACUUAUCUAACUUUCGUAAAAGGUUACAAGAUUGCUAGGAAGAUUAAAUAAGAACAUAAGUGGUAGGCAAGGGUGCUGAGCAAGGAGCCUGGGUAUAUCAGCUGGUGAUAACAUUUAAAAGACAUUUUAAAAUGCAGACCCUGUUUGUGCUCUCAGCUCUACCAAUAACUGCUAAUCCCGUGCUUUGUUCUAGGGCAAGGGUCAGCAAACUUUCCGUAAAGGGCCAGAUAAUAAAUAUUUUAGGCUUUGUGGACCAUAUGGCCUCAGUCUCAACUAUAGCUGACCCUUGAAGAACACAGGUUUGAACUGCACGGGUCCACUUGUACAUGGAUUUUUCUCAAUAAAUGUUACACCAAGUGUGCCUGUCUCAGCCCUCUCUGAGACAGCAAGACCAACCCCUCCUCUUCCUCCUCCUCCUCCUCAGCCUACUCAAGAUGACAUGGAUGAAGACCUUUACGAUGAGUCACUUCCACUUACUGAACAGUACAUGUAUUUUUCUUCCUUAUGAUUUUCUUAAUCAUCUUUUCU